rnacentral:rRNA from 2 species
CGCGGCCUAUCAGCUUGUUGGUGGGGUAACGGCCUACCAAGGCAUCGACGGGUAGCUGGUCUGAGAGGACGAUCAGCCACACUGGGACUGAGACACGGCCCAGACUCCUACGGGAGGCAGCAGUGGGGAAUAUUGCGCAAUGGGCGAAAGCCUGACGCAGCAACGCCGCGUGGGGGAUGAAGGCUUUCGGGUUGUAAACCCCUUUCAGUGAUGACGAAAAUGACGGUAAUCACAGAAGAAGCCCCGGCCAACUACGUGCCAGCAGCCGCGGUAACACGUAGGGGGCGAGCGUUGUCCGGAUUUAUUGGGCGUAAAGAGCUCGUAGGCGGUUGCGUAAGUCGGACGUGAAAACUCAGGGCUCAACCCUGAGAUGCCGUUCGAUACUGCGCUGACUAGAGUCCGGUAGGGGAGCAUGGAAUUCCUGGUGUAGCGGUGAAAUGCGCAGAUAUCAGGAGGAACACCAGUGGCGAAGGCGGUGCUCUGGGCCGGAACUGACGCUGAGGAGCGAAAGCAUGGGUAGCAAACAGGAUUAGAUACCCUGGUAGUCCAUGCCGUAAACGUUGGGCACUAGGUGUGGGACCUACUUAACGGGUUCCGUGCCGUAGCUAACGCAUUAAGUGCCCCGCCUGGGGAGUACGG